ACCCACCAAGAACUAUACACUUAUCAAUGUAACUAUUAAGCAAACCAUACAAUUAUCUACACUAUUAAUCAACUUAGACUAACUGAUCACAUAACAUUUUAGCAAUUUCGUCACUACAGUCAGUGGUUAUGGUAUGGUUAGUAACUAUUGUACAGUUAGACAAUUAUGGUUUUAGAGUUACAAUCUCAAUUAGUAAUAGUUAAUGUGUUACACAUACAAUGUUAAACAGUAAUUUUAGUAUUGUUCACGUAAUGUUAGUGGUUAUGGUACAAGUCAGUGGUUAUGGUACUGUGCGCUAUUUUAUACUAUACACACUUUUUUACAAGUC